ensembl:lncRNA
AACCACUUAAAAUAUAUAGGACAGAUUUUCUCAUGGUAACACUUUGCAUUAAUUUAUCUCAGUACAGGAUCUGACUAUUAUGCUAUUAAACUAAUUGAAGGUAGAGGAAGUAUCUAGCCUGAUCAGCUCUGCCAGCUCAAGAGUUUGCACAGUAAUUCUUCUGGAAAGAAAGCAAAAUAUACAAGGAGAAGAAGCAAAGAAGAUUUUAUUACAACUAGCUUGAGAAUUGCUCUGAAGAGUCUGUUGCAGAGAUGAGGAACAAAAGGACAGCGAGAGAACUCAAAUGCAUAGGAACCAUGCAGUCCUGGGGAAGGCAAGUCCAUGGAAGAAAGCAACAGUGUUUGACAAUGGAUACCAAAUGCUUGCAAAACUACACUUCGUAGGAGGAACAGCUCUUUUCCUUAGCUGAAGUCUCUGCAAACAUUUUACCCAACUAUGAACCCUAAGGAAUAGCAUGAUGACUAUUAUAAUGCAACAGACAAUUUUAGCUAGAGCUUGGAAACCAGUGUCUUCAAGUGUUUCAAGAAGAAGUUACAAGAUUGGUUGAAGUCUAUAAUGGAAAGUAAAAUGCUCUAAAUAAACAUAAUAAAAC